UUCAAAGUUCUAACCCAGAUCCAAAUGUACCAAGUGCCAAAUGCCAAAUUGAUGCAACUGCAAAUCCAAUCCGAUUCUUGUAAUACCCAAAUCGAACUACGUAAUGUCCAUCCAACCCCUUCCCGGUUCCCAAAUCCAAAUCCAAAUCCAACGGCAAUUCUCAUCUCUCUCCAAAUGUCAUCUCAUCUGAAUUUUUUUCGGAACUUGGUAGAAAACCAACAAUCUACACCUCUGCCAUAAGGAACGGAUCCAGAAUAGAAUCCAAGACUGAGCUAAAAUUUUUUAAAGCUAAUCUGCGGGAAAAAAAAUUGUCUUUUCACACAUUAAAAACUGAAAAAAAAAAA
rnacentral:lncRNA from 1 species